UGAACAGCGUGGAAAAGGACGAGUAAAAACAGAAGCGGCGCACAGAGAGCUGUCCCUCGUGCUGAAAGGACAGCCGCUGGCCUGUUUUGAAUAUCACCUUGGAGCUGUGCCUUGGAAAGAGCGGGUCCGCCGAUUGAGUACAGGGCAACGGUCACGCCCCCGUUACCGGGCGGGAGUUCUCCUCGGGGGAACUCGCCGAGUCUGUUUUUCGCGAGGAAAGCAGAGAAGCUGAGUGGUACCGCGAUGCCCUCGCCUCAGCC
rnacentral:ncRNA from 1 species